AACCGAAGAACCUACCUGCCCGUGACACCUCGGAACCUUGUAAGAGAUGACUUGGGCCUUCGGGAACCGAGUGACAGGUGCUGCAUGGCUGUCGUCAGCUCGUGUCGUGAAUGGGUUAAGUCCCCAACGAGCGCAACCUUGUCCUAGUGCAGCGAUCGUCGGAACUUUAGGGAGACUGCCGGUGACAAACCGGAGGAAGGUGGGGAUGACGUCAAGUCAUCAUGGCCUUAUGGCAGGGCUACACACGUGCUACAAUGGCCGGUACAGAGGGUUGCCAACCCGCGAGGGGGAGCUAAUCUCAGAAAGCCGUUCGUACAUGCAGUCUGCAACUCGACUGCAUGAAGUCGAAUCGCUAUAAUCGCAAGAUCAGCAAUG
rnacentral:rRNA from 1 species